CAUUGGGUUUAUAUAUGAAACGGUAUAUGUUUUUUGAUUAGUACUCACUACUGCAGUCCAUGUUGCAGAUGUUCACGGAGAGGUCUUUGGACGAGUUACAGGCGACACGAUCAGCCAACUGGAACACUCCGUAUAGGGUCCACAGUCCGUUGACGCCUAUUUUUUGACUGUGAUUCAUGUAUGUGGAAUUGAAAUUGGGAGGAAGUGGUGGGUACGCAUCAUUCAUUUCAUUCUCAGUUUUCAAAGAGUUGGGUGGAGGGGCGAUUGGAUUCUCGGUCUCGUUGAACAUGGGCUCGUGAGUUGUACUAGGAAGCUUUGGCAAUGGAGUUCUGGGUUGGGCUUUAGGCAUCUGUGUGGUGUUAGGCGGGGGGUUAGUGGCGGAUUUAGGAGGGGGGCUAGUGGUGAGUUUAGGAGGGCGGUUGGUGGAGGAUAUAGGAGGUGGGUUGGUGGUGGAUAUAGGAGGUGGGCUGGUGGCGGAUUUAGGAGGGGGGUUAGUGGUCUUAGGGGGACGGCUAGAAAUGGGGGCAGCUCUGGUCUUGCGCUUUCCAACGAGAUCCAGUGGAUUGACUUGGUUGACGGUGCUGGUGUCAAAACCAGAAGUCUCCUCGGCAUGGCAC
ensembl:lncRNA